UUUAAUUGGUUUUAUUUAUAAUUCCAAUUAUUAAAGAAAGAUGAGUAAGAAUAUUGUUGGUGUUCUUAACUCAAGAGAAAUGUUUUCAAUUAUUUAUUCAUUAAAUUUUGAAAACCCGGCUAAGUGAAUCAUAGAAUAUUAAGCACUACACCAUGACUUAAGAUUAGAAUUCAAGAAGACCUAUUGAGAAUAGAUUUCUUGUAGGCUUUGUGAUGACCAGGAGGAUUAGCGCUACUUUUCCAAGACAGGUUUAUAUGUGUAUGAUCUUCAGGCUUUGCCUAUCCAGGUUGGCUGGCCGGUGCUGACGGGACGGAGCUGAGGCUAGAGAUAAAUUCCUAUGUUAGACUUCCGCUAUAGCAAUUACUCAUAUCAGUCUUUUGUUUUCCCAACUUAAGAUCUUCAUGUUAAAUUUCAAAUGAUAUAUCUGACCGAGCUUAGACUCUUCA